CAGUCGCCGCGGUAAUACGAAGGGGGCUAGCGUUGCUCGGAAUGACUGGGCGUAAAGGGCGCGUAGGCGGCGAUCAAAGUCAGGCGUGAAAUUCCUGGGCUCAACCUGGGGGCUGCGUUUGAUACUUGAUUGCUAGAGUGGGGAAGAGGGUCGUGGAAUUCCCAGUGUAGAGGUGAAAUUCGUAGAUAUUGGGAAGAACACCGGUGGCGAAGGCGGCGACCUGGUCCUUGACUGACGCUCAUGUGCGAAAGCGUGGGGAGCGAACAGGAUUAGAGACCCGCGUAGUCCCUGUCUCUUAUAC
rnacentral:rRNA from 1 species